UCGGGUGUCCAGGCGCCGGAUCUGAGCGAACGUCUCAGCCGGUUAGCUCAUGGGUGGAACAUUGACAUUGGUGCGGAGCUGAACGGCUCGAACUCAGUACGCCUCUUGCAGGUAGGAAAGGUUCGGACCCGGAAGUUCCGCACAUGCACGCUGUUGGGUCCUGAGGGACCGGACCUCAUCCGACUGGAUGAGAACCGAAUCCUCUGGGCCUUUUCUUGUCGGUCAUAACUCGGCCGGCGGAGAAGGCACCGCCCGUACUUUGAGAACUACACAGUGGACGCGAGCAUCUUAGAUUCGAACCUUCGGGUUCGGAUCACAAAGAUGAUCUGAUUUAUUAGAUCAUUGGUCAAUCUGCUCAUCUUCGACUGCGCUUGUCGCAGCUGGAGCUGAGCCGAUCGAUUCAAACUCAUGUGAUUUCAAAUUUCUAAGAGCAAACGGUGGAUGCCUUGGCAUCUGGAGCCGAAGAAGGACGUAGCAAUCUGCGAUAAGCCUCGGGGAGUUGAUAAGCGAACUUUGAUCCGAGGAUUUCCGAAUGGGGAAACCCCGCUGGGCCCUUUG
rnacentral:misc_RNA from 1 species